GACGAACGCUGGCGGCGUGCCUAAUACAUGCAAGUCGAACGAAGUGGCGAACGGGUGAGUAAUACGUGGGUAACGUGCCCUCCUUUUUGGGAUAAGCCAUGGAAACGGGGUCUAAUACCGAAUAAAGGGGGCUGGGCUCGCGGCCUAUCAGCUGGUUGGUGGGGUGAUAGCCUACCAAUGCGGUGACGGGUAGCCGGGCUGAGAGGCUAACCUGCCACAUUGGGACUGAGAUACGGUCCAACGUCCUACGGGAGGCAGCAGUAGGGAAUAUUGCGCAAAGGUGGAAACCCUGACGCAGCGACGCCGCGUGGGGGAUGAAGGCUUUCGGGUUGUAAACCUCUUUCGCUAUCGAACCGGUAGGUGGAGAAGAAGCGCCGGCUAACUACGUGCCAGCAGCCGCGGUAAUUC
rnacentral:rRNA from 1 species